GACAGAGGGUGCAAACGUUGCUCGGAAUCACUGGGCGUAAAGGGCGUGUAGGCGGACUUGCAAGUCAGGCGUGAAAUCCCUGGGCUCAACCCAGGAAUUGCACUUGAAACUGCAAGCCUUGAGUGUCGGAGAGGAAAGUGGAAUUCCUGGUGUAGAGGUGAAAUUCGUAGAUAUCAGGAGGAACACCGGUGGCGAAGGCGGCUUCUGGA
rnacentral:rRNA from 1 species